rnacentral:rRNA from 1 species
AUUGAACGCUGGCGGCAGGCCUAACACAUGCAAGUCGAGCGAGCGGCGGACGGGUGAGUAAUGUCUGGGAAACUGACUGAUGGAGGGGGAUAACUAAUGGAAACGGUAGCUAAUACCGCAUACCAUCAGAUGUGCCCAGAUGGGAUUAGCUAGUAGGUUGGGUAACGGCUCACAUAGGCGACGAUCCCUAGCUGGUCUGAGAGGAUGACCAGCCACACUGGAACUGGGACCAGUUCCAGACUCCUACGGGAGGCAGUCGUGGGGAAUAUUGCGCAAUGGGCGCAAGCCUUAUGCGUCCAGUCCGCGUGUGUGAAGAAGUCCUUCGGGUUGUAAAGCACUUUCAGCGGGGAGGCGUUACCCACAGAAGAAGCACCGGCUAACUCCGUGCCAGCAGCCGCGGUAAUUC